rfam:Myotis brandtii contig165160, whole genome shotgun sequence.
GGCAGUUCUUCGGUGACACACCCUGGAAUAGGGCUCCCUCUUCUCUGGUUCUGAGUGUGUCACCCAAGAACCAUA